AUACAGAGGGUGCAAGCGUUAAUCGGAUUUACUGGGCGUAAAGCGCGCGUAGGUGGCUAAUUAAGUCAAAUGUGAAAUCCCCGAGCUUAACUUGGGAAUUGCAUUCGAUACUGGUUAGCUAGAGUAUGGGAGAGGAUGGUAGAAUUCCAGGUGUAGUGGUGAAAUGCGUAGAGAUCUGGAGGAAUACCGAUGGCGAAGGCAGCCAUCUGGCCUAAUACUGACACUGAGGGGCGAAAGCAUGGGGAGCAAACAGGAUUAGAUACCCUGGUAGUCCAUGCCGUAAACGAUGUCUACUAGCCGUUGGGGCCCUUGAGGCUUUAGUGGCGCAGCUAACGCGAUAAGUAGACCGCCUGGGGAGUACGGUCGCAAGACUAAAACUCAAAUGAAUUGACGGGG
rnacentral:rRNA from 1 species